UGUGACUCCAUGUCCCAGUAGGCUUUGCACCUGCCUUUCUGUUCUGUGCACAGGCUCCAGCAGUCUUAGCUCCUCCCACGCAGUAUAAAGAGAGUGGAGCUCAAACCAUGCUCUUCUUUAGCCGCUGAUUUCUGAGAGCACAUUCUGACUGGUUUUGAGACACUUACUGGCAAAUCCUCCUCCCCCACCUCACUGGAAGCCAUCAAUGCACGGUCUUGCAGUCUUUGGCUCUAUAAUUACUGCCAACACAACAUGGAUACCAGAUUGAAUGCUCCUGUAAGAAUGCUAACCUCUGAUCAAGAUUUCUUUCUCUGGACCCAAGACAUUCUGACAGUGGGUCUAACUGUGGCAGGAUACAAACAGCCUAAAAGCUUCCCAUACCUCCACCCUCAGCAGACUUCAGCUCCUUGGCCUCCUGGAUUUGAGCAACAAGACUUUGGAGCCUUUGUGACGCAGCCGUUCUCCGCUCCUCCAAAACACUCCUUUGUUCUCUUGAAGAAGUCUACCUACUUGUUGCGGGGCUUCUACUAUCUCCUCAUUCCCCGUGAUCAGCUCCAUUCUCUGCUGAAGUUCUCUCCUACUGCAGAUGAGACCAGAGUAAAACCCACAUGAGGUCCAUGUACCGCUAAUCACACAAUAAAUCAGAUGAGUUCAGACUUUCAGGAUGAAAGCUGAAGACGUCUCCCUCUGCUGCUGUUCCUGCAUCCGUCUUUAAGGCUCCAAGCCCACUUCCCUGCUGGUGGUUCUGCCCGUAAGCUCUGUGUUCCCUCAUCAUGUUCAGGUUCCUCUAGUUGGGCCAACUAACCUCCUUCACUCUGCUGAAGACUAACAAAACUCAGUUUUUACCUGUUUUAUUUUCUAUGAUGAAAUGUGACUCUGCAUGCCGUGCUGGCGUUUAAAUGUUUAACUCUGAGGUUCUGGACUAGUCCAAAAAUAAAACCUAUUUCUAUUUAUGUAAACAUGAAGUAAUAUACUGAGGAAAAAUAAAGGCUUUUUCUGUAAGAACCGGGCUCCUGGUGGUUUGAAGAGCUUCAGUGGGUUCAUGAAGCAGAGCCGUGUGAGGAGACUCUGCAGGUGAUGAUCUGUGGAGCAGAACCAAGAGCCUUCAGACCAACAAACCACCUCCUGAUCAGCCCUCUGCCUCAGCUGGAGCUUGAGCUUCUGGCUCAUUCCUGGAUUUCUUUUUUUUUUUUACCAAAAUCUGUCAUUUUUAUGAGACAAAUGGUGCCCGAGAACCCUUUCUGGUGUGAUGAGCGGUGGCUCAGAGGAGUAUGAAGUGAGCUACAGAGUCACAGGUUGCAGGUUCACCUCCUGGACUAGACCACUUUUACCUCCAUUUUCCCUCUAUUGAAA